rnacentral:rRNA from 1 species
UAACAAUGAUUUCCCUAGUAACGGCGAGUGAAGAGGAAAGAGCUCAAAGUUGGAACCUGUUUGGCUUAGCUAAACCGGAUUGUAAACUGUAGAAGUGUUUUCCUGACACGCCUGGUAAAAAAGUCCUUUGGAACAGGGCAUCAUAGAGGGUGAGAAUCCCGUCUUUGGCCAGAGCUGUUGUCUUUUGUGAUACAUUUUCAAAGAGUCAGGUUGUUUGGGAAUGCAGCCUAAAUUGGGUGGUAAAUCUCACCUAAAGCUAAAUAUUUGGGAGAGACCGAUAGCGAACAAGUACCCUGAGGGAAAGAUGAAAAGAACUUUGAAAAGAGAGUUAAACAGUAUGUGAAAUUGUUAAAAGGGAACCGGUUGGAGCCAGAUUGGCUUGGCUGUAAUCAUUCUGGGCUUUGGCCUUGAUGCACUUGCAGUCUUUGCCUGCCAACGGCAGUUUUCUUCAAUAGGGAGAAAUUGGUAGAAAUGUAGGUCAGGUUUCGGCUUGGCUGUUAUAGUCUAUCAAAUAAUACCUUGAAGGGGACUGAGGAUCGCAGUGAAUGCUUAGGCGGUAAUUUUAGUUUGUUAUUCUUGUUUAUGUUGGCAAAAUGACUAUGUUCGGGUAGUGUUAUCGAUGUAAGCGGAAGUACCAGGCUAUAUUUCUAAUUCACUUAGGUCGUUGGCUUAAUGACUCUCAAUGA